GGUCCUUUGCAUAUUGUUCAUUGCCUCUUUUUUAUUUAUUUACUUGCGGACAUUAAAAGUAUAUUCUUUUCUAUUUGUGGGUCUUUCCAGUGCUUGUGUUAUGAAAUGGAGACCACAAUCCCCUCAUGCUUGCUUUGCCUUUCUUUCAGAGGCAGUAAUACUUCUGAAAACCAGUUUCUGGAAACUUCAGGAGGGGAGAGCAAUCUUGUGCGUGCUUCCUGCUUGUGGGUUUCCCACAGACAUCUGGUUGGCCAGCGUGAGAACAGGAUGAUGGACAGGGCUAGAUUUAGGCUUCAUAAGGCCCUAAGCUACUGAAGGUAAUGGGGCCCUUUAUAUGUCCAGCUGUCCUUUGUCAACAACAAAUUGUCACUGUUUUUUGUGUUGAAUAUAUGCUAUAUGGUAAUUUAUGGACCUAAUAGGUAUCUAACGCCAUUUGCACAUAACAAAAUAUGUAUUUUAUCAAAGUAAUUGAUAUAGAAAUAAGUAAAUCAGUGAUAAUUUAGGGAGCAGGCUAGCAGGCAGAGCCCAUUAUUUACAUCAUAGGAGCCUGCACAACACAAAACACUGUUGCUGUAUGUAGGUUUUAUUUUGUUUGUUUUUUAUCUUAUAUUUUGGAAAUGUACAUCCAGGUUUUUUUCCUUUAAUUUUUUUGGGGGGCUCCCAACAGAGUGGGGCCCUAAACUAUAGCUUAUUUAGCUUAUAUGUAAAUCCAGCACUGACGAUGGACUAGUUCAGGGGUCAGCAACCCACGGCUCUGGAGCCGCAUGUGGCUCUUUUACACCUUUGCUGCGGCUCCGGGGCGGAUACCAGCGAGGGGAGGAGGCGCAUUGUGCACCCCGACACUCCCCACUGUGGCGGGCGCUGUACUGGCUGUGACGUCGCAUGGGGGCGGUGCGUGCGUUAGUCACGCACCGUCCCGACGUCACCUUCCCGCCUGCUACAUUGUAAGGGGCAUGUACGCUGGUCACUGCAUUGAAAGGGGGCAUGUACGCUGGUCACUGUUUUGAAGGGGAGUGAAGAACACACACACACAAAAAGGUAACUUGUUAAUUUAACGUUUAUUUCUAUGAGGAGGAGUAAUUCUGAGGGGUCAAACAAAGAAAUAAUAAAAAAGUGACAAAAAAGUUAUUUUUAUAAUGAUGAGUUUUGCGGCUCCAAGUUUUUUUUUCUUCGGAAACGGGUCCAAGUGGCUCUUUUUGUCUUAAAGGUUGCAGAUCCCUGGACUAGUUCCUCAUGACAACCUUCAGACUUCUCAAAUGUCAGAGCCUGACUUACACAGGGCUAUUUGAGGCGUGCAAAGCACAACCAAGCUGUUAGAAACCACACACUCCAGUCUACAAGCAGGCAGUAUUGCUUGUGUUGUAGUUAGAAGUGGAUUAUUUUUAAGGAGAUGAAGCGAAAUGCCUGCUUUCAGCCACACGGUGUUGGUUUUCCAUGACCACUAGUAUUUAUUCCAACAUGCAGUAGCGUUUAGUGGUUUAAUAUAUCUGGACUGUAAUGAGGCAGAGGAUCACACACCCAUCCUGAUUUCAGAUUGGAACGAAUGAUUUUCAGGUUUUACAGACUCAGC